rnacentral:piRNA from 1 species
UGCUUGGGCGACACUUACACGUCUCUGGAGU